ACGACAUUAAAGCGGGAGAAAGGAAACGAGGUGAGAGAAGGUUUGCAGUUUGCAAAGUAACUCAGACUGUGCCGUGUCCUACGCAUGGGGUCCAGACCUGUUUGUCACGGCUGCCGCAGCCCAGUGAGCUCUAAGUAGGUGCAUGGGCAAGACCACCUCAGGAUGCUGUACGGCCACACGGCAGCGUGCCCGUCACCGUCAAGAAGGACUCGGCCCGUUUGCCCUGCGUGAGCCCAGUCCAGCUGGUUCUCUCUGAGCCCGAAACGCAGCCUUUCGGGUCCGGAGGGGCUCCCGGAGGGGCUCCCGCCGGGGCUGCAGAGAAGUACCUUUCCCGAACUGCAGAGGCAGGGGCGCGUGCCUUCGGAGGCGAGGGCAUGCCCUGCUCUCCACCAUGUUCACCUGGCUCAUUGAGUGGCAUACAGGAGGGGGCAGGAAAAACACAUGGAUUAGCAAACCGCCACAGUCCAGGCACCUCACCAUGUUUUCCAGUUCAGCUCUGAAUUUCCAAGAGCCCUCAACACACCCAGAGUCACCGAGCUUGUGUCCCUGCUGCCCAAUCGUGUCACAGCUCUAGCUGUCCGCUCUCGGUCUCCAAGUGUCUCAUUUCAGGAAGUUUCUGCUGUGACCUUUGCCAAACUUCUGAUCCCCCUGAGGGACUGUCAACUUCAUUUCAGCAGCUUUGCCCCGAACCAAACAAAACCCAGAAGGGACGCUCACCUGUGACCACGUGGCACAAAAAUCCAAGGCGGCUGCGUGACGGCUGACCGUCCUCUGUGUCGGUGGUGCCCCACACGGACAGCGGAGCUCCCAGCGCACCGCCCCCACGUCGUGCUUGCCAGAACAGGAGACGAGUGUCAUGGCCACAGCAGUGGGCGGCACCAGGGCUUGGGAAUUCUGUGCCGUGUGACGUGAGAUGACAGUCUCCAAGCCCUGACCCCCACUAGUCUAGAAAGCAUAGUGGUGAUUUGUUUGCAAAGUUUUAAAAUUUUAAAAGUACCAAGUUCCUGAAAUCCAAUAAAAUAUUUUUAUUAAUUUUAAUUGAA